rnacentral:rRNA from 1 species
CCUACGGGUGGCAGCAGUGGGGAAUAUUGCGCAAUGGGCGAAAGCCUGAUGCAGCGACGCCGCGUGAGGGAUGAAGGUUUUCGGAUCGUAAACCUCUGUCAGCAGGGAAGAAAGGUCACUGUGCUAAUCAGCAGUGAAUUGACGGUACCUGCAAAGCAAGCACAGGCUAACUCCGGGCCAGCAGCCGCGGUAAUACGGAGGGUGCGAGAGUUAAUCGGAAUUACUGGGCGUAAAGCGCUCGUAGGCGGUAUGUCAAGUCAAGGGUUAAAUCCCCGGGCUCAACGUGGGAACUGCCUUUGAAACUGGCAAGCUGGAGUGUGUGAGAGGAUAGUGGAAUUCCAGGUGUAGGAGUGAAAUCCGUAGAUAUCUGGAGGAACAUCAGUGGCGAAGGCGACUAUCUGGCACAUAACUGACGCUGAGGAGCGAAAGCGUGGGUAGCAAACAGGAUUAGAUACCCCAGUAGUC